rnacentral:rRNA from 1 species
ACCGCCUGAGAGGUGACCGGCCCACUGGGAUGAGCGGCCCAGCUCUCGGGAGGCAGCAGUGGGGAAUAUUGCACAAUGGGCGGAAGCCUGAUGCAGCAACGCCGCGUGAGGGAUGACGGCCUUCGGGUUGUAACCUCUUUUAGCAGGGAAGAAGCGAAAGUGACGGUACCUGCAGAAAAAGCACCGGCUAACUACGUGCCAGCAGCCGCGGUAAUACGUAGGGUGCAAGCGUUAUCCGGAAUUAUUGGGCGUAAAGAGCUCGUAGGCGGUCUGUCGCGUCUGCUGUGAAAUUCCGAGGCUCAACCUCGGGCUUGCAGUGGGUACGGGCAGACUAGAGUGCGGUAGGGGAGAUUGGAAUUCCUGGUGUAGCGGUGGAAUGCGCAGAUAUCAGGAGGAACACCGAUGGCGAAGGCAGAUCUCUGGGCCGUAACUGACGCUGAGGAGCGAAAGGGUGGGGAGCAAACAGGCUUAGAUACCCUGGUAGUCCACCCCGUAAACGUUGGGAACUAGUUGUGGGGUCCUUUCCACGGAUUCCGUGACGCAGCUAACGCAUUAAGUUCCCCGCCUGGGGAGUACGGCCGCAAGGCUAAAACUCAAAGGAAUUGACGGGGACCCGCACAAGCGGCGGAGCAUGCGGAUUAAUUCGAUGCAACGCGAAGAACCUUACCAAGGCUUGACAUACACGAGAACGGGCCAGAAAUGGUCAACUCUUUGGACACUCGUGAACAGGUGGUGCAUGGUUGUCGUCAGCUCGUGUCGUGAGAUGUUGGGUUAAGUCCCGCAACGAGCGCAACCCUCGUUCUAUGUUGCCAGCACGUAAUGGUGGGAACUCAUGGGAUACUGCCGGGGUCAACUCGGAGGAAGGUGGGGAUGACGUCAAAUCAUCAUGCCCCUUAUGUCUUGGGCUUCACGCAUGCUACAAUGGCCGGUACAAUGGGCUGCGAUACCGUAAGGUGGAGCGAAUCCCAAAAAGCCGGUCCCAGUUCGGAUUGAGGUCUGCAACUCGACCUCAUGAAGUCGGAGUCGCUAGUAAUCGCAGAUCAGCAACGCUGCGGUGAAUACGUUCCCGGGUCUUGUACACACCGCCCGUCAAGUCAUGAAAGUCGGUAACACCUGAAGCCGGUG